rnacentral:rRNA from 1 species
AUUGAACGCUGGCGGCAGGCUUAACACAUGCAAGUCGAGCGGGGUGAUGGUGCUUGCACUAUCACUUAGCGGCGGACGGGUGAGUAAUGCUUAGGAAUCUGCCUAUUAGUGGGGGACAACAUCUCGAAAGGGAUGCUAAUACCGCAUACGUCCUACGGGAGAAAGCAGGGGAUCACUUGUGACCUUGCGCUAAUAGAUGAGCCUAAGUCGGAUUAGCUAGUUGGUGGGGUAAAGGCCUACCUAGGCGACGAUCCCUAGCUGGUCUGAGAGGAUGACCAGCCACACUGGAACUGAGACACGGUCCAGACUCCUACGGGAGGCAGCAGUGGGGAAUAUUGCACAAUGGGCGCAAGCCUGAUGCAGCCAUGCCGCGUGUAUGAAGAAGGCCUUCGGGUUGUAAAGUACUUUCAGCGAGGAGGAAGGCAUUGUGGUUAAUAACCACAGUGAUUGACGUUACUCGCAGAAGAAGCACCGGCUAACUCCGUGCCAGCCGCCGCGGUAA